GCUUUAUUCGAACGUAUCCACGUUUCUUUCAGCCGUUCGACAUAGUUUCGACGAAGACGUACGGUCACACAAAGAAGUAUAGCUGGCAAGGGCAGGGGAAUAAAAGCGAGUAUAAAACGAAGAGGACAGGGAAGAUCGAUGAGCCUCCGCGGCUCCGCGUUACACAGGUGCACUAUGUGCACAGGUGAACUGCGGUGAUUCUACGAAAGCACGUGCACGAUACUAAACAGAUGAGAGAGGUAUAUAGAGGGACGAGAAAAGAUACGAGGCCCAGAUAGAAGUGGCGCGUGCGCCUAUGCAUCCGGCUUAAGAAAACUUCAGACACUUCAGUGGGAAAAACGCGACGUCUUUAUGUAACCGGUUCGGACACGAGAAGUUUAAGAAGCUCCCGUAUCCGAACGGUACGAAUAAAAGCGUCUAGGGUCUAAUGGUAUGAGAUGGUGUCUUUCGCCGUUGUGCCCUGAAAAGGCGAGCAACACACGUGUUUCACACGAGUACGACGACGAGCGUUUUGUAAUUUUGUUAAUCGUUCGAGCGAGCCACAGCGAUUAAGUAAUGAUGGAAAGCCCGGUUGCAACGAGCAAGCCGAGCGAGCGCUACGAUUUUUGUUAGAUGCACUUCGAUAGGUAUCUUCUGGCUGGAAUCGGUGGCCUUCGCGAUUCUUCGAUAGUUUCGGGUUUCGUGUAAGAUGUUUCUCUUUUCGAUUGGGAUAUUAGCGAUUUACCUUGCUGUAGAUUAUUCUGAAAAUCUCAAGUACAUGAGUAUCUGAAAUUGGGUCAAUCUAUUUUCUACAGGUAAGACAUUUGGUGGAUUAUUCGAGCCAUUCAAAAGUCAAGUUCAUUAAUUUAUAAAUGUUAAUUACAUCUUGCCAAAAGGAGCUAUAUUCUGAAUGUAAAUUUACUA